CCUACGGGAGGCAGCAGUGGGGAAUAUUGGACAAUGGGGGGAACCCUGAUCCAGCCAUGCCGCGUGUGUGAAGAAGGCCCUCGGGUUGUAAAGCACUUUCAGUGAGGAAGAACGCCUGGUGGUUAAUACCCAUCAGGAAAGACAUCACUCACAGAAGAAGCACCGGCUAACUCCGUGCCAACAGCCGCGGUAAUACGGAGGGUGCGAGCGUUAAUCGGAAUUACUGGGCGUAAAGCGCGCGUAGGUGGCUUGAUAAGCCGGUUGUGAAAGCCCCGGGCUCAACCUGGGAACGGCAUCCGGAACUGUCAAGCUAGAGUGCAGGAGAGGAAGGUAGAAUUCCUGGUGUAGCGGUGAAAUGCGUAGAGAUCGGGAGGAAUACCAGUGGCGAAGGCGGCCUUCUGGACUGACACUGACACUGAGGUGCGAAAGCGUGGGUAGCAAACAGGAUUAGAUACCCUAGUAGUC
rnacentral:rRNA from 1 species